rnacentral:rRNA from 1 species
ACUCAAAGGAAUUGACGGGGGCCCGCACAAGCGGUGGAUGAUGUGGUUUAAUUCGAUGCAACGCGAAAAACCUUACCUACCCUUGACAUGUGCGGAAUCCUCCAGAAAUGGAGGAGUGCCCGAAAGGGAACCGCAACACAGGUGCUGCAUGGCUGUCGUCAGCUCGUGUCGUGAGAUGUUGGGUUAAGUCCCGCAACGAGCGCAACCCUUGCCAUUAGUUGCUACAUUCAGUUGAGCACUCUAAUGGGACUGCCGGUGACAAACCGGAGGAAGGUGGGGAUGACGUCAAGUCCUCAUGGCCCUUAUGGGUAGGGCUACACACGUCAUACAAUGGCGCGUACAGAGGGUUGCCAACCCGCGAGGGGGAGCCAAUCCCAGAAAGCGCGUCGUAGUCCGGAUUGAAGUCUGCAACUCGACUUCAUGAAGUCGGAAUCGCUAGUAAUCGCGGAUCAGCAUGUCGCGGUGAAUACGUUCCCGGGCCUUGUACACACCGCCCGU